rnacentral:rRNA from 1 species
UGCGCAGGCGGAGCGAUCAGUCAGUGGUGAAAUCCUACGGCUCAACCGUAGAACUGCCAUUGAUACUGUCGUUCUUGAGUAUAGUUGAAGUGGGCGGAAUGUGUCAUAUAGCGGUGAAAUGCAUAGAUAUGACACAGAACACCAAUCGCGAAGGCAGCUCACUAAACUACUACUGACGCUCAGGCACGAAAGCGUGGGUAGCGAACAGGAUUAGAUACCCUGGUAGUCC